CUGCCUCAAAGAGGGGAAUAGCCUUCCGAAAGGAAGAUUAAUACCGCAUAAUAUGUUUUGGUCGCAUGACUGAGACAUCAAAGGAGCAAUCCGCUUUGAGAUGGACCCGCGGCGCAUUAGCUAGUUGGUGAGGUAACGGCUCACCAAGGCGACGAUGCGUAGCCGACCUGAGAGGGUGAUCGGCCACAUUGGAACUGAGACACGGUCCAGACUCCUACGGGAGGCAGCAGUGGGGAAUAUUGCGCAAUGGGGGAAACCCUGACGCAGCAACGCCGCGUGAAUGAUGAAGGCCUUCGGGUUGUAAAGUUCUGUCUUCUGGGACGAUAAUGACGGUACCAGAGGAGGAAGCCACGGCUAACUACGUGCCAGCAGCCGCGGUAAUACGUAGGUGGCAAGCGUUGUCCGGAUUUACUGGGCGUAAAGGAUGCGUAGGCGGACAUUUAAGUCAGAUGUGAAAUACCCGAGCUUAACUUGGGUGCUGCAUUUGAAACUGGGUGUCUAGAGUG
rnacentral:rRNA from 1 species